ACGAACGCUGGCGGCGUGCUUAACACAUGCAAGUCGAACGGAAAGGCCCUGCUUUUGUGGGGUGCUCGAGUGGCGAACGGGUGAGUAACACGUGAGUAACCUGCCCUUGACUUUGGGAUAACUUCAGGAAACUGGGGCUAAUACCGGAUAGGAGCUCCUGCUGCAUGGUGGGGGUUGGAAAGUUUCGGCGGUUAGGGAUGGACUCGCGGCUUAUCAGCUUGUUGGUGGGGUAGUGGCUUACCAAGGCUUUGACGGGUAGCCGGCCUGAGAGGGUGACCGGCCACAUUGGGACUGAGAUACGGCCCAGACUCCUACGGGAGGCAGCAGUGGGGAAUAUUGCACAAUGGGCGGAAGCCUGAUGCAGCAACGCCGCGUGCGGGAUGACGGCCUUCGGGUUGUAAACCGCUUUCGCCUGUGACGAAGCGUGAGUGACGGUAAUGGGUAAAGAAGCACCGGCUAACUACGUG
rnacentral:rRNA from 1 species